GAGGUCAAGCAAAUCCCAUAAAGUUGUUCUCAGUUCGGAUUGUAGUCUGCAACUCGACUACAUGAAGCUGGAAUCGCUAGUAAUCGUAGAUCAGCAUGCUACGGUGAAUACGUUCCCGGGUCUUGUACACACCGCCCGUCACACCACGAGAGUUUGUAACACCCGAAGCCGGUGGAGUAACCUUUUAGGAGCUAGCCGUCGAAGGUGGGACAAAUGAUUGGGGUGAAGUCGUAACAAGGUAGCCGUAUCGGAAGGGGCGGCUGGAUCACCUCCUUUCUAAGGA
rnacentral:rRNA from 1 species